AUUCCAGUGACUGCUCAGCCAAAGGAGCUUGGGUGACAUCUCCAAGAUCACUGCAAGGAAGCAAAUUGCCAGUGCUGAGCUACCCCUCCCAGCCCAUGUGGCUCUCCCCAUGCUCCAGGAG
rnacentral:lncRNA from 1 species